GGUUAGAUAUUUUAAAUAAAAAAAUAGGAUUUGCAAUUCUAAAAUGAGAUAUCUCUCUUACCA
rnacentral:tRNA from 1 species